AAUUCUCAACUUCACCAGUUUUGUUAUGAGACUGUGUGAAGCUUGGAUGUGGGGGUUUGUGCAGAGCGCGUAAAAGUAACCUGCUCCCCUUAAAUGAAUUAGCGAGUUCAAACUGGGCUCCGUCUAUUGGUGUGAUAAUUAUCUACGCCGUGGAUUGGGCUUAGACUUGCUUCUAAUCGUCCGCAAGGACAAUCUUUUGACA
rnacentral:misc_RNA from 1 species